rnacentral:other from 1 species
ACAAUCCUGAGAUGUUCGUUAGCCUUGAUAAUUCAACCGACAUUGAAUUAUCGGGAACUCGGGUCCUUCAAUGUAUGUCAUGCCUAAUUAGGACUUCAGAAAUUGAAGGCAGAGUACCCACCUGCUAAGAAGCGGGCGUGAAUUAUAAGAGCGACGACAUAACGGGGGUUUA